rnacentral:rRNA from 1 species
AAUGGGUCAGCGACUUAUAUUCUGUAGCAAGGUUAACCGAAUAGGGGAGCCGAAGGGAAACCGAGUCUUAACUGGGCGUUAAGUUGCAGGGUAUAGACCCGAAACCCGGUGAUCUAGCCAUGGGCAGGUUGAAGGUUGGGUAACACUAACUGGAGGACCGAACCGACUAAUGUUGAAAAAUUAGCGGAUGACUUGUGGCUGGGGGUGAAAGGCCAAUCAAACCGGGAGAUAGCUGGUUCUCCCCGAAAGCUAUUUAGGUAGCGCCUCGUGAAUUCAUCUCCGGGGGUAGAGCACUGUUUCGGCAAGGGGGUCAUCCCGACUUACCAACCCGAUGCAAACUGCGAAUACCGGAGAAUGUUAUCACGGGAGACACACGGCGGGUGCUAACGUCCGUCGUGAAGAGGGAAACAACCCAGACCGCCAGCUAAGGUCCCAAAGUCAUGGUUAAGUGGGAAACGAUGUGGGAAGGCCCAGACAGCCAGGAUGUUGGCUUAGAAGCAGCCAUCAUUUAAAGAAAGCGUAAUAGCUCACUGGUCGAGUCGGCCUGCGCGGAAGAUGUAACGGGGCUAAACCAUGCACCGAAGCUGCGGCAGCGACGCUUAUGCGUUGUUGGGUAGGGGAGCGUUCUGUAAGCCUGUGAAGGUGUGCUGUGAGGCAUGCUGGAGGUAUCAGAAGUGCGAAUGCUGACAUAAGUAACGAUAAAGCGGGUGAAAAGCCCGCUCGCCGGAAGACCAAGGGUUCCUGUCCAACGUUAAUCGGGGCAGGGUGAGUCGACCCCUAAGGCGAGGCCGAAAGGCGUAGUCGAUGGGAAACAGGUUAAUAUUCCUGUACUUGGUGUUACUGCGAAGGGGGGACGGAGAAGGCUAUGUUGGCCGGGCGACGGUUGUCCCGGUUUAAGCGUGUAGGCUGGUUUUCCAGGCAAAUCCGGAAAAUCAAGGCUGAGGCGUGAUGACGAGGCACUACGGUGCUGAAGCAACAAAUGCCCUGCUUCCAGGAAAAGCCUCUAAGCAUCAGGUAACAUCAAAUCGUACCCCAAACCGACACAGGUGGUCAGGUAGAGAAUACCAAGGCGCUUGAGAGAACUCGGGUGAAGGAACUAGGCAAAAUGGUGCCGUAACUUCGGGAGAAGGCACGCUGAUAUGUAGGUGAAGUCCCUCGCGGAUGGAGCUGAAAUCAGUCGAAGAUACCAGCUGGCUGCAACUGUUUAUUAAAAACACAGCACUGUGCAAACACGAAAGUGGACGUAUACGGUGUGACGCCUGCCCGGUGCCGGAAGGUUAAUUGAUGGGGUCAGCGCAAGCGAAGCUCUUGAUCGAAGCCCCGGUAAACGGCGGCCGUAACUAUAACGGUCCUAAGGUAGCGAAAUUCCUUGUCGGGUAAGUUCCGACCUGCACGAAUGGCGUAAUGAUGGCCAGGCUGUCUCCACCCGAGACUCAGUGAAAUUGAACUCGCUGUGAAGAUGCAGUGUACCCGCGGCAAGACGGAAAGACCCCGUGAACCUUUACUAUAGCUUGACACUGAACAUUGAGCCUUGAUGUGUAGGAUAGGUGGGAGGCUUUGAAGUGUGGACGCCAGUCUGCAUGGAGCCGACCUUGAAAUACCACCCUUUAAUGUUUGAUGUUCUAACGUUGACCCGUGAUCCGGGUUGCGGACAGUGUCUGGUGGGUAGUUUGACUGGGGCGGUCUCCUCCUAAAGAGUAACGGAGGAGCACGAAGGUUGGCUAAUCCUGGUCGGACAUCAGGAGGUUAGUGCAAUGGCAUAAGCCAGCUUGACUGCGAGCGUGACGGCGCGAGCAGGUGCGAAAGCAGGUCAUAGUGAUCCGGUGGUUCUGAAUGGAAGGGCCAUCGCUCAACGGAUAAAAGGUACUCCGGGGAUAACAGGCUGAUACCGCCCAAGAGUUCAUAUCGACGGCGGUGUUUGGCACCUCGAUGUCGGCUCAUCACAUCCUGGGGCUGAAGUAGGUCCCAAGGGUAUGGCUGUUCGCCAUUUAAAGUGGUACGCGAGCUGGGUUUAGAACGUCGUGAGACAGUUCGGUCCCUAUCUGCCGUGGGCGCUGGAGAACUGAGGGGGGCUGCUCCUAGUACGAGAGGACCGGAGUGGACGCAUCACUGGUGUUCGGGUUGUCAUGCCAAUGGCACUGCCCGGUAGCUAAAUGCGGAAGAGAUAAGUGCUGAAAGCAUCUAAGCACGAAACUUGCC